rnacentral:rRNA from 1 species
UACGUAGGGGGGCAAGCGUUGUCCGGAAUCAUUGGGCGUAAAGAGCGUGUAGGCGGCCCGAUAAGUCCGCUGUGAAAGUCCAGGGCUCAACCCUGGGAUGCCGGUGGAUACUGUCGGGCUCGAGUCCGGAAGAGGAGUGUGGAAUUCCUGGUGUAGCGGUGAAAUGCGCAGAUAUCAGGAGGAACACCAAUGGCGAAGGCAGCUCGCUGGGACGGUACUGACGCUGAGACGCGAAAGCGUGGGGGAGCAAACAGG